UGUUGCCGUAACGGGACUUUGGGGAGGUGUUUUAUUCCAAAAAAACAGGAUUAAAAAAAGUUUUCAGAGUUAUUUUACUCUUGGUGUACAUGGUGUACGUUUGCUCAAGUGAUCAAUCAGAAACUCUAGAGACGUUUUCUAAAUUUUAGACAGCACGGCUACAUCCUUAUUUCCAUUAACACCUAGCUAAACCUGUUAAUGAGAUUCUUUAACCUGUGCCUAAUUAGGCAGCGGUAAGGACAGCAGGAGCCAAUGUGGGAUUCAAUCUCCCAGGAUUUAGCUUUGAUCAUCCCUUAACCCAGAGCAUGGCCCUGGGGGUCUGAUUUAAACCCACUAGCAUGGCCGUUCAGGGGUGAGAAUCACAGCGGGAAGGGUUGAAAGUCUAGAGGACUGUGAUUGGGGAUGAGAGCCAAGAUUGGGAAUACAAAGGUGAAACUGAGGACUUUGCUAUUAGGAAAGUGCUUUGUGACAUGAUGUGGUAUCCAGCUGCAAACGGCCAUGACAAGACAGAAUGAGGCUAUAUAUGAGGGGUGCACAUGUUCUGCAACGAUAUCCAGGUAUGCAGUGACAUUUAAACAAUGCUCAACUGGUGUUAAGGGCCUAAUGCGUGCCAAGAAAAUAUUUCACACAUCAUUACACCAACAAUACACAGAGCAGGAUGGAUGCAUGCAUCGAUCCAUGUUUUUUAUGUCAAAUUCUGGCCCUACAUUUUCCUGUUUUUAACUGACAGAAGAACAACCUGGAGUGGUCAAUUGCUGUUGUACCUCAUCAUCUUAGGUUUCAUUCAAGGACUGCCACUUACUGGAUGCCUUCUGUUGUUCGCAACAUUCUCAGCAGUCCCUAGAGACUCCAGUGCAUAAAUAAUCCCCGGAUAUCAGCAGUUUCUGAGAUAAAGAUUACAUUUCGCCUCAGUUCUGAUGUCUAGUCUGAACAAUGACUGAACCACUUUAUUGUGUGUAUGUCUCAGUCAACUCUAGUGCCAUGCGACUUGAACUCUGCCAUUUUUAAAUCCUAAUGAACAAUAAAAAGACUUAAGUCAUGAAUUACUCUAAAUCAUUUACUCAACCAAUUCAUAA